CAACUUUCUCACUUUAGUACCCUAUAGUUUAAAGUGUAUCAAUUUGCCCCCCUGUGGUUUUGUUUUUAUCUUUUCUAUAGCUUUUUACUUAAUAUUUCGUUAAAUUAUAUGUAAAAAAAUAUCAGAUAUCCAUCUAGAUUUACUGAAUAUUUACUUUAGUACCCUUUAAUUUUAAUUUUGUCACUGAUUUGAGGAAAAAAAAUAAUAAAAUUGAUAAAAAAAAAAAAGAAAAACGAAACCACAGGGGGGCAAAUUGAUACAUUUUAAACCACAGGGUACUAAAGU
rnacentral:lncRNA from 1 species